UGCCAUAUUGCUUGACUUGCAUUCUUGUAAGGAUUUGUAUCGUCCCUUGGCCAUGUCUGUGAAAAUACGUAGAUUCAAGAAUAAGAUGUUAUUAAAGAAACUUUCAAUACAGGGGAGAAAUUAGAAAAAAAUUUUAAGGGGUUAAAAUUAAAUUAUAAAUUUUACGAUAGUAAAAAUGUAAUUUUACUAUUUUAAUAGUUUAUAUAUUUAUAAUUUUUAAAGGAUUAAAUCAAAUUUUUUAUAUUUUUAAGGAAAGACAAAGUGCAAUUUUACCUUUAUUAAUUUAAGAAGGCCUGGCCUUGCCAACCCCCUUACUUUUACCCUUGUAAUUCAAUUGUUGUAAAAAAAAUGUAUAAAAGCUAACCCAAAUUCAUUAAGUGUUUAAAAACUUAAGGUGAACCGAGACUUAUAAUUACAAGAGAAGAGAACACUUUUACUGUAGAAAGCCCAUUUUGCCUGGGCCUUUAAAAUUAUUUACAACAAAUACAUAAAUAAAAUAAAUAAAAUUAAAUUGUUUGCAGUCCAUUAAAUACAAACCCAAACUUGAGGCCUAAAACCAAAAAUAAACCCAACACCGGACCCAACAAAUAACCCAAAUCCCAACCCAAAACAAAAAAAACCACUCAGCAAACCCUAAGAGCUUCAGCCACCGCAACCUCCAACUGCCUCCUCCACGUCACCACAGUCUUCUCCUCCGUACGGCUAUCGAACCUGCGAGAAAAAUCGAAUAACAGCUAAGCAGUACCAGAAUAGCCAGCAAACGAAUAACAAAAUCAGUUUUUUUUUGUAUUUUAUUUUAUUAUUUUAGAAAUUCAGCUAUAAAAAGAAGUCGAUUGUACUGUAAAAUGGACGGAUACUGAAUACAAAGAAAAGGCAUUUAGAAAUCAAUUUUGGAAAGGUGAUUCUUAGAUCUGGCAUUUCUUUCGCUUUAUUUCUUUGUUCUUCUCGAUUUUUGUUUACGGUAUAAAAAAAAUAAAAAGAAAGUGACUUAUCUUGGUAUUGGCACUUUCAAAUCUUUGCUUGCUUCGUAGUAAUCGAAGUUUAAGUGAGAAUUCUGUGGCUUAAGAGCAUCAAAACCUUUGGGUUCGUCUUCGAAUAAGGAAAAUCAUGCUUUCAUAUGGUGCGAUCCACAGAAACAUGGAGGCGAAAUGGCAGAUGGGAGAAGAACCGUCUGAUUCGGCCGAAUGAGAGGGAGAGGAAGCUUAGGUUUUUUGUUUUGAUUUUGUUUAAAGUGAUUAGGGGUUCAUUUUAGGGUUUUCUUUUGUUUUUUAUGGAGUAUAUGAAACGACAUCGUUUUAAGUCUACUUCAAUAACUUUAAGGAAAGAAAGGUAUCCGAUUGGACAUCGUUUGGUCCCUCCCUUUCGCGCUGGUAUCCGAUUGGACACUUUGUGUAUUUUCUUUCUUUUUUAAAUUUUUCCCUGAGAUUUGCGUUAUUGCAAUUUGGUCCACGUCUAAACGCUGCGUUUUGGAAUCUAGAAUAUUUCCAAUUUUGAUCUCCGUGCAUUUGCUCGCAUUGCAUUUUAGUCCUUAUGUCAAUUUCAAUGAUUUAUUUUAUUUAUU
rnacentral:lncRNA from 1 species